UACAUGGGGUGCAAACGUUGCUCGGAAUUAUUGGGCGUAAAGCGCACGUAGGCGGUUUGUUAAGUCGGAUGUGAAAUCCCUCGGCUCAACUGAGGAAGUGCAUCCGAAACUGGCAAGCUUGAGUACGAAAGAGGGUCGCGGAAUUCCCGGUGUAGAGGUGAAAUUCGUAGAUAUCGGGAGGAACACCGGUGGCGAAGGCGGCGACCUGGGCCUGCACUGACGCUCAUGCACGAAAGCGUGGGGAGCAAACAGG
rnacentral:rRNA from 1 species